rnacentral:rRNA from 1 species
UACGUAGGGGGGCAAGCGUUGUCCGGAUUUAUUGGGCGUAAAGAGCGUGUAGGCGGCUUGACAGGUCUGCUGUGAAAACUCGAGGCUCAACCUCGAGAUGUCGGCGGAAACCGUCUGGCUAGAGUCCGGAAGAGGAGAGUGGAAUUCCUGGUGUAGCGGUGAAAUGCGCAGAUAUCAGGAAGAACACCAAUGGCGAAGGCAGCUCUCUGGGACGGUACUGACGCUGAGACGCGAAAGCGUGGGGAGCGAACAGG